GUGGGGAAUAUUGGGCAAUGGGCGAAAGCCUGACCCAGCAACGCCGCGUGAAGGAAGAAGGUUUUCGGAUCGUAAACUUCUAUCCUUGGUGAAGAUAAUGACGGUAGUCAAGAAGGAAGCCCCGGCUAACUACGUGCCAGCAGCCGCGGUAAUACGUAGGGGGCAAGCGUUGUCCGGAAUGAUUGGGCGUAAAGGGCGCGUAGGCGGCCCGGUAAGUCUGAAGUGAAAGUCCUGCUUUUAAGGUGGGAAUUGCUUUGGAUACUGUCGGGCUUGAGUGCAGGAGAGGUAAGCGGAAUUCCCGGUGUAGCGGUGAAAUGCGUAGAGAUCGGGAGGAACACCAGUGGCGAAGGCGGCCCCCUGGACAAAGACUGACGCUCAGGUGCGAAAGCGUGGGGAGCAAACAGGAUUAGAUACCCUGGUAGUCC
rnacentral:rRNA from 1 species